GGACGAACGCUGGCGGCGUGCUUAACCCAUGCAAGUCGAACGGAAAGGCCCUGCUUUUGUGGGGUGCUCGAGUGGCGAACGGGUGAGUAACACGUGAGUAACCUGCCCUUGACUUUGGGACAACUUCAGGAAACUGGGGCUAAUACCGGAUAGGAGCUCCUGCUGCAUGGUGGGGGUUGGAAAGUUUCGGCGGUUGGGGAUGGACUCGCGGCUUAUCAGCUUGUUGGUGGGGUAGUGGCUUACCAAGGCUUUGACGGGUAGCCGGCCUGAGAGGGUGACCGGCCACAUUGGGACUGAGAUACGGCCCAGACUCCUACGGGAGGCAGCAGUGGGGAAUAUUGCACAAUGGGCGGAAGCCUGAUGCAGCAACGCCGCGUGCGGGAUGACGGCCUUCGGGUUGUAAACCGCUUUCGCCUGUGACGAAGCGUGAGUGACGGUAAUGGGUAAAGAAGCACCGGCUAACUACGUG
rnacentral:rRNA from 1 species